UACAGAGGGGGCAAGCGUUAUUCGGAAUUAUUGGGCGUAAAGGGCGCGUAGGCGGCCUGGCAAGUGGAAGGUGAAAUCCCUCGGCUUAACCGAGGAACUGCCCUCCAAACUGCUUGGCUUGAGUCCGGGAGAGGUGAGUGGAAUUCCCAGUGCAGCGGUGAAAUGCGUAGAUAUUGGGAGGAACACCAGUGGCGAAGGCGGCUCACUGGACCGGAACUGACGCUGAGGCGCGAAAGCGUGGGGAGCAAACGGG
rnacentral:rRNA from 1 species